AACGAUAUCAGGGCUUUACGAGCCACAGGUGGGAAGUAUCUUUGAAGCAAACUGUGAUUGGAGGCUGGGGGUUGAUGAGACGCAUAAAUAGCUUCAUAGGGACACAAGUAAAGGAGCGAUGGACACGAGAGCGAUGUACACGGGGAGCGAUUGACACGGGGGAAGCUCCUUUGCCACAGGCAAACAAAGACACGCACCUUUUGAAGAGCCCGAAGGCUCUGUUGAUCCGGGGAUCGCUGAAGCGACCGGAAAGAGGACAGAGCCACAGGAGGCGAAAGGAAGGCAGGCGGGGAUCUUUAAGGAGGAGCACCCCGAAGCGGUGCUUAGUAUCCCUGUUGUUGACUUACAUCGAGGAAGAUACCGAAGACCUUAUAGGUGGAAGGAUUAAACGAAUGCUGAUCUUGGAUGAAAGAAACGAAGGCAAGACGCACCGUUGUGAGUAUACGUCUGUGGAAAAGUGUUGAUGGUGGCUGGAAAACGCCCUGUCUGUGCAUCUGGAAUUAUUGCAGCGUGAAGGCAAUCUAAGACGGAGGAAUUACAGCAGUUGAGAGUGGAAGGCCCUACCCCUGAGCUAGUGUGGUGGGUGAGCCGAAGGGUCUUUGUGAGGAAAACAACUCCAGUGACGAAAACCAACACUAGGCCGUGUCACCAUCGCUACAUUCUCGUCCAGAGCAAAGUAAAAGGAAGACGGGCGUCUAAUGUGUGCACUGAGUGGUGGGUGAGUUUUGGAUGUAGAAAUUUUCACUUGAAGUGGUGCUGUGUAAUGCUGUGUAUUGCAGUGGGAUUGCUGUUGUCUUGUCUGACGUACCCCCGCCUCCAGUCACUCGCUCUUGAGACGACGAAGAGGAAAGAACGGUCCUAGAGUAAGACCUGUAUAGGAUUAUGCUGUGAGUGUGUUUCAGUCUUCGAAUCACGGAGUGGUAUCUCGAAGUAUUUUCCCAGCCAAACGAUCGGCGGACUUGAGUUUAGGAGUGGCGGCGAAGAACUGUGCUACUGACGGUGUGUGAGUAUUACCCAUGAUAUUGCUACCUUACCUGUGUCUUUUUGAUCAACACAGAGCUUGAGGCGAAGGAGAUCCGCCGGCCCGAGGUCUCGACGAAAGGGCGCCCCGGUCCAGUUUUCGAUCGACCAACGGGUCUCGAGGAAAGGGCAGCGCUCGACCCGGUGAGCCGGCGUGACGUUUCUCGCCCCUCUAUAGACCAACGAGCUCGCCGAGAGGGUUUUGGCCCCCGGCGCCACCUAGGAAACCACUGUCCAGUUGACGCAUCGCGUAGCCAGCCACCGUAAGUCCGCCACCCUGUUAAGUGAAAUAUAACUUGUUAAAACUGCCUAAUCGACAGGGAAGAGGAGUGUGUCGUGAAGGCUGUGCAGAGAGCCAUACCCAUCCAAAGCUGUAGUCAGCGACGAGUCAUCUGUGGAGAGAGAGAGACAGCGUGAAUGUUGAGAUAACGAACUGUGAAGAGAGCCAUACCUACCCAAAGCUGUAGUCAGCGACGAGGUGAGAGAAACCAUUGGAAACCGAUUCACUGUGCCUUUGUGUCCCAGCAGUCAUCUGUGGAGAGAGAGAGACAGCGUGAACGCCGAGAUAACGAACUGUGAAGAGAGCCUAGAGGGGCUGUUAUUUUAAGUUCCCCUUUUUCCCUGCCCUAUUUAUUAAUUUUAAAUAAAUUAAAUAAAGUACAUUUUAAUUUA